rnacentral:rRNA from 1 species
CUUUCAGCGCCGAAGAAGCGAGAGUGACGGUAGGCGCAGAAGAAGCACCGGCUAACUACGUGCCAGCAGCCGCGGUAAUACGUAGGGUGCGAGCGUUGUCCGGAAUUAUUGGGCGUAAAGAGCUUGUAGGCGGUUUGUCGCGUCUGCUGUGAAAACCCAGGGCUUAACCCUGGGCCUGCAGUGGGUACGGGCAGACUAGAGUGUGGUAGGGGAGACUGGAAUUCCUGGUGUAGCGGUGAAAUGCGCAGAUAUCAGGAGGAACACCGAUGGCGAAGGCAGGUCUCUGGGCCACUACUGACGCUGAGAAGCGAAAGCAUGGGGAGCGAACAGGAUUAGAUACCCUGGUAGUCCAUGCCGUAAACGUUGGGCGCUAGGUGUGGGACUCAUUCCACGAGUUCCGUGCCGCAGCUAACGCAUUAAGCGCCCCGCCUGGGGAGUACGGCCGCAAGGCUAAAACUCAAAGGAAUUGACGGGGGCCCGCACAAGCGGCGGAGCAUGCGGAUUAAUUCGAUGCAACGCGAAGAACCUUACCAAGGCUUGACAUAUACCGGAAACAUCUGGAGACAGGUGCCCCGCAAGGUCGGUAUACAGGUGGUGCAUGGUUGUCGUCAGCUCGUGUC